CAGCUGUGUAGUGUUCCAUUGUAAGUGUGUAUCGUAGAUUAUUUAAGCCGUCCCUCAUUUAUGCACAUUUGGGCUGAUUCCAGUUUUUUUUUUUUUUAUUGUGUGUGCUCCAGGAGACAGAAUCUUUCAUGGUGGAAUUCCAGACACAGAGGAAGUAUUUGGGAUCAGGGGCUUCCGGGUGCUCUUAGGAGCACCUGUGUCCACCUCAAGGUCAGGAGUCCUUAAGACAGAAGGAGUCCUUGCCUGGUUGUCACAGGGCAGACCCUGUGCAUGUGUGUGUCAGCGUGCUUCCUUCCGGUGGCACCACAGGCCUCCUUGUGACAUCUGCAGGCCCCAUCUCUCUCCUUGGGGACCGUGGGGCACAGGACAGUGGAGGCCUGAUCCCUAUUGCAUGUGGUGAAUCUUAACUCAAGCCUUCAACAUCCUCCUUGAAAGAGGGGGAUAUCAAGAGAAUGAAAACAUGGGCCACACAAUGAGGGGAAAUAUUUGCAAAAGACAUAGUCGAUAAAGAACUAUUAUCCAAAAUAUACCAAGAAUGCUUAAGACAACCAUAAGAAAACAGGUAGGUGCUCUAGCUCACACCUAUAAUCCCAGCACUUUGGGAGGCCGAGGUGGGAGGAUUGCUUGAGCCAUGAGCUCAAGACCAGCCUGGGCAACAUGGCGAGACCUUGUCUCUUCAAAAAAUACAAAAAUUAAUUGGCAUGGUAGUGCACACCUGUAGUUCCAGCUACUCAGGAGGCUGAGGUGAGAGGAUUGCUUGAGCCUGAGAUAUUGAGGCUGCAGUGAGCCAUAAGUGUACCACUGCACUCUAGCCUGGGUGACAGAGUGAGACACUGUCUCAAAAGAAAAAAAAAAGAAACCAAAUAACCAAAUUUAAAAAUGGGCGAAAGAUCUGAACAGACACAUCAACAAAGAAGAUACACAGAUGAUGGCAAAGUGCAUAGGAAAAUAUGUUCAACAUCAUAUGCCAUCAGGGAAAUGCAAAUUAAGACAACAAUGAGAUACUACCACACACCUAUAAGAAUGGCCCAAAUCCAGAACAUUGACAACACCAAAUGCUGGCAAGGAUGUGGAGCAACAGGAACUCUCAUUCAUUGCUGUGGGAAUGCAAAAUGGCACAGCUACUUCAGAAGACGGUUUGGCAGUUUCUUACAAAACUAAAACAUACCCUUACCAUACAAUCCGGCAAUCACACUCUUUGGUAUUUACCCAAAUGAAUUGAAAAUUUAUGUUCACACAAAAACCUGCAUGCAAAUGUUUAGAGCAGUUUUAUUCAUAAUGCCAAAACUUGAAAGCAACUAAGAUGUCCUUCAGUAGGUGAAUGGAUAAACUGGAAUGCAUCCAGACAAUGAAAUAUCAUUCAGUGCUAAAAAGAAAUGAGCUAUCUCAACCAUGAAAAGUCAUGGAGGAAGAAUGCCUGUUACUAAGUGAAUCUGAAAAGGUUACAUGCUAGAUGAUUCCAAUUCUAUGACAUUCUGGAAAAGGCAAAACUAUGGAGACAGCAAAAGGAUUAGUGGUUGCCAGGGGCUGGAAGGGGAUGGUGGGGAUAAUGGAUGAAUAGACAGAAUAUGGGGGAGUUUUUAGGGCAGUGAUAACAUUCUAUGUGAUUCUACAAUGGUGAUUAUGUGCCAUUAUACAUUUGCCCAAGCCCAUAGAAUGCACAAUACCAAGAGUGAGCCCUCAUGGGAGUGAGGGACACUGGGUGGUGAUGAUGGGUCCAGGCAGGUUCAUUGAUUGUGCUAAAUGCACCACUCUGGUGGGGAUGGUGAUAGUGUGUAUGUGGGGGGACUGGGCAUGUGUGGGGGCAGGGGGCACAUGGGAACUCUGUACUUUCUGCUCAAUUUUACUAUGAAACUCAAACUGCUCUAAAAAAUAAAGUUUAUUUUAAAAACUGAAAA